UACAGAGGGUGCAAGCGUUGUUCGGAAUUAUUGGGCGUAAAGCGCGUGUAGGCGGCUUGGCAAGUCGGGUGUGAAAUCCCUCAGCUCAACUGAGGAAGUGCGCCCGAAACUGCAGAGCUUGAGUACCGGAGAGGAUGGCGGAAUUCCCCAAGUAGAGGUGAAAUUCGUAGAUAUGGGGAGGAACACCGGUGGCGAAGGCGGCCAUCUGGACGGAUACUGACGCUGAGACGCGAAAGCGUGGGGAGCAAACAGG
rnacentral:rRNA from 1 species